rnacentral:tRNA from 1 species
UGGGGUGUGGCUCAGUGGUAGAUUGCUCACCUAUCACGUGUGAGGCCCUGGGUUCAAUCCUCAGCACCACAU